rnacentral:misc_RNA from 1 species
GUGCAUCGAACGGUUGGCAUGCUAUCCUCUUUGUUGUCACCAAGUGCCAUGAAGCAUUUUGGUGUUUUUUUUUUCGGGUUCCUGUGUUGCCUACCUUUGAAAUGGUACUUAACUGGUCUGGAAUAUUUGUUCCAUCUAGAUCUCUUUAUGGGAUGAUGGUGGAUUUUAAUGCAACGCAUGUGUUCCACAUUAGUUUUGCAUUGUGAAGCUUUUGUGGUAUGCAUGUAGCUGUUGUUCUUUCGGAUGCGGUGCAUGCAAUGAACGUGGGUUUUAAUUGUCCCGUUUGGUUUUUAAAUUUCUGGUUUCCUUAGAAUGACAUCUGUCUUGGUGCUUGUUAUGUUUUCCUUUUAGGGAGACAACACUUGCGCCCUGACAUGGUCAUUAAUGGGUGU